rnacentral:rRNA from 1 species
ACAAGCGGUGGAGCAUGUGGUUAAUUCGAAGCAACGCGAAGAACCUUACCAGGCCUUGACAUGCAGAGAACUUUCCAGAGAUGGAUUGGUGCCUUCGGGAACUCUGACACAGGUGCUGCAUGGCUGUCGUCAGCUCGUGUCGUGAGAUGUUGGGUUAAGUCCGUAACGAGCGCAACCCUUGUCCUUAGUUACCAGCACGUUAUGGUGGGCACUCUAAGGAGACUGCCGGUGACAAACCGGAGGAAGGUGGGGAUGGCGUCAAGUCAUCAUGGCCCUUACGGCCUGGGCUACACACGUGCUACAAUGGUCGGUACAAAGGGUUGCCAAGCCGCGAGGUGGAGCUAAUCCCAUAAAACCGAUCGUAGUCCGGAUCGCAGUCUGCAACUCGACUGCGUGAAGUCGGAAUCGCUAGUAAUCGUGAAUCAGAAUGUCACGGUGAAUACGUUCCCGGGCCUU